AGGCCUACGUGACACGACCUGAAGCAGCAAUGGCGGCGGACGAGGGCUGUGCCCCCGGCCCGCCCUGUUAGGAGCCGCGAGUAAGGCGAGUGUCCGACGCCAAGCUGGCUGACAGAGCCCGGCCGCGGCCUCCGCGGGCCCAGGGGCCUCCAGGCCCCGUGACCACCGGACCGAGCACCCUGGAACGGCCCCGGCUUGGCCUCGGGACAGUCCGCGCCCUCACCGACUCCCUGGGGAACGCCGCUUGGCCGCCGCCGCCGCCGCCGCCGCAGGACCCACGAGAAGCGGAAACCGGCGCAGGGACCCGGUCCCUGCGGCGCCGUACAUGGAGAAUGUAGUAAGAAGACAAAAACUGAUGACCAAGAGAAUGUGUCAGCCGAUGCACCGAGUCCAGCCCAGGAAAAUGGAGAGAAAUGUGAUACCUCAAAGCACAAAGUGCUGGUAGUGUCUGUGUGUCCUCAAUCUUUGCCUUAUUUUGCUGCUAAAUUCAACCUCAGUGUAACUGAUGCAU
rnacentral:sRNA from 1 species